rnacentral:rRNA from 1 species
UACAGAGACUGCAAGCGUUGUCCGGAUUUAUUGGGCGUAAAGAGCUCGUAGGCGGCUUGUCGCGUCGACCGUGAAAACCCGUGGCUCAACUACGGGCUGGCGGUCGAUACGGGCAGGCUGGAGUUCGGUAGGGGAGACUGGAAUUCCUGGUGUAGCGGUGAAAUGCGUAGAUAUCGGAAGGAACAUCAGUGGCGAAAGCGACUUCCUGGACCAGUACCGACGUUCAGGCACGAAAGCGUGGGGAGCAAACAGG